rnacentral:rRNA from 1 species
UACGAAGGGGCUAGCGUUGCUCGGAAUCACUGGGCGUAAAGGGUGCGUAGGCGGGUUUUAAGUCAGGGGUGAAAUCCUGGAGCUCAACUCCAGAACUGCCUUUGAUACUGAAGAUCUUGAGUCCGGAGAGGUGAGUGGAACUGCGAGUGUAGAGGUGAAAUUCGUAGAUAUUCGCAAGAACACCAGUGGCGAAGGCGGCUCACUGGCCCGGUACUGACGCUGAGGCACGAAAGCGUGGGAGCAACAGG